UUAGCUCAGCUGGGAGAGCACCUGCUUUGCAAGCAGGGGGUCGUCGGUUCGAUCCCGUCAUCCUCCACCAACCAAUACGCUCUGCGGUAGGGCGAAGAAACCAACACCAAAGCGGCUUCGCGAGAGGCCUCUUUGUUGUUGGUCCGGUAUAGACCGGAUCAAUCGGUUGUUUCUUUAAAAAAUUCAUAAAGUCGAAUCAGCGUUGCCGGCGGAAAGCAGGAAACUGCACCGUGCCGCCGGUGACAAAAAUUUGAUUGCGUCAAAAACGAAUAUUUCAAUUGAGCGAAAAUCUUGUUGAAAAUCAAUAUUGAUAAAUUGUUCUCUAGGUAGCAAUACCGAAGAAAGAAUUUCACAUUUCGGGAAAAAUGGGCGAGGGGAAAGACCUCGCAAGUCCUUGGAAGAAAAGCGGAAGAUGUCUCGCAAGAGAUGCAAAAGUUAUAGGGUCAAGGGGACUUUGAGAUUGUGGGGGGA
rnacentral:rRNA from 1 species